AGAGUGACUAAGAGCCGUGAGAAAGAAGCAUCCACAGGACCCCAGGAUCCUUGGAACUGAGUGAAGAAGGAAUUUGGUGGGACAUAUCCAUAAUGGGGGUCUCUGCCUCAUGACAUCUGGGCUUCAGCCAGGAAGUCUCAAAAGCUGAGGAAAACUUGAUUGCUGGGGUCUGGAAACAUCUGGAAGCAUCAUUACUUGCACGUUUGGUUGUUUCUUUCUCCAGGGCAAUGUAUAAGGCAGGAUGGAUAAAACCAACUCUCAUACUGAAGAUGAUUUUUGAAAUAUCCAUGAAUAUUUUCGGGAAACUAAACCUCGCUCACUCAGUGCUGGAACAAUGAGUAAACUUUGUUUUCUCCUACAGGAGAAAAUAUUUUCUGCAACAAAACAUUAUGUUUAAAAAAAUCUGUAAUGUGAUUAGA